AGUACACACUGCUCUUCACCUCUGUUCUCUUCAACAAUGCCUACUUGUGCAAGAAGCUACAAUGAGAAAAAAAAUAGCAAGAAAUAGAUGAGGGAAGGAGGUUCUGUAGAGGGAAAAACAAAGAGAGAAAAGGAGAAUGAAUUGUGCUGAGAAAGAGAUGCCUGGAUGAAGAAGCUGGCCCUAGCACCCAUAAAGCUGGAAAGAAAGUGGGGCCUUGGAAACUUCUGGAAGGAUGCGAGGAAAGAAAAAUGCAAGGAAAUGAGAUGGAGAGGAGAAAGAGAAACCAGGAAGCACUUCGGAAGCAUGUAAAUUACAAGGAAAUGAGGAACAGCCUUUAUUGAAACAGUCUGUGAAGUCUGUGCUAGCGCUGAGAGCUUCAUUUUACUGUCCUGGCAAGGAGGUGUGGCCCCUCUCCAGUGCCCAGCACCUCAUCGCUGUGGUAACAGAAGACACGCUUAUCUUCCGGAUUUUGCCUCAGAGACUUGGGCUGUACAAGCUGCUUUCCUGGGGUGGCUUGUCCUUUUGCAGUUAACCGAGAUGCCUGGGGAGAAGAGCUUCCCCCAACAGGAUGGCAGGCGAUGCUUCCAGAUGCGGUCACUUGGCACGUCUGAGCCGAAUGUCUCCAUAAAAAUAUGAUGUAAUUAACAGAGCCGCAGCAGCUGGAACAAUUCAGCACCUCACAUUGAUUUUCCAUGUCUCCUAUUUACUUUCAGUUUUUAAACUGUCUGCAGUGACAGGAAAUCAAAGAAUUAUAAUGGUGUGUGUGAGGGCCCAAUGCUGGGUCGGCAUUUCCUUGUGAAAUCCUGAGAUUAAUCAGUUUCCUAUCACUCAAUCAUCCCUUUUCACUUCUAAAGGAAAACUGUCCUCCCAAAUGCUACGAAAUAGCAGUCUAUUUUUGGAUAUUAAAAAAAUCAAUUGUAUUAUUUUAAAAUUUGAGAGGAGUGUUUUUAAAAAAAGUCAGCCCGAAGCAAUAUUCACUUAUCUGUUUUCCCAUUCAAGUUUAAUAGGAGUUGGCAAAGGCAUUUGGGUGCAGUGAGACACAAGUACUAUAUUCACCCUUCCCAAGUUUUGAGAGCUUGGAAAAGUUACUUGGUGGAACCAAAGAGAGGAACUGCAUUCCAAGUUUUUUUGAUCACUGAAAUGAAGGAAAAUAAGUUUCCCCAUAUGUGGUUAUUCAUGAGCCUUCAUCUGAAGCUGGUGGUUUUCUCAUAGUUGGUCACUGUAUUUCCAGCUCUGUCAGGUGAAAGUCAGAAUCUUGGGUUAAUUUCACUUUGGGUUCCUUAAAAUGCUGGAGAAAAUAGGCAGCUGCGGUUGUAGUGGGGAAACAGGCCUCUGUCUGAAGUCAGCUUGCUCUAGAUUGUGUUUGAAAACAUGCCUCAGAUUUAAGUGGUCUUGCUUUUUUUCCAGACUCCCUUGCCUUGGCAGAUUCUGUGUCUUGGCCAUACUGUAAGAACUCACUUUUCUUUGUCUUUUUAUUGAUUCAAGCAAUAUAACCAUUUCAUAAAUAAUUAGGAAAAUAAAGAAGAAAAUUUCUCAUAAUUCUACUGCUCAAACGCAAUAGCUAUGAUUGCUUUGGAGCAAUUGCUUUGGGUCAUUUUCAAAUGCUGAGUUUUGGUAUGAUUCUAAGCAUAAUGUACAAACAACUUUACAUGUUGCUUUUUCACUUAAUCUAUGUCAGAAGCAUCUCCCCAAGUUAUGAUUAGCUUCAGUAAUUAUCUUUUUAAUUGCUGCCCAAACAGCUGGAACAAUUCAGUCCCUCUUAUUGACUUUCCAUGUGUCCUAUGGAAGUAGAGACAGUCUAUUAACUAUUUCUGUAUUUUGGGACAAUAGAUCAAAUUCAUUUUUCACUGUAAUUAAUCCCAUGAUAAGUAUCUUUAUAAAUAA
ensembl:lncRNA LINC01915 long intergenic non-protein coding RNA 1915